GAGGAUAGGGGGAAUAGUGUUUUCUUUUUUUUUUCUCAAAAUUGAACCACAAGAUUAUCUCGAUUGAUUGAAAAAAGACAUAAUAGAAUUUAUAGGUUAUGUGCGUAAAAAUAUUAUUCGUGCGCUCAAUGAAACUGCGUGGAGAUAAAAAUGAUUCCUUUCCGAGAGUUUACAGGAAAAUAAUCAUCUUAAAGCAAAUACGUGCGCGAGAUAUAUCGAAAGAUUUGAAUUACUGUAUUUGUUUCCGAUUACACUAGUUACUCGAAUCUCUGCUCGACUGCCAUGUUUUAUCUGGUUACAUAUCCAUAAUGAACCAAUCGUAGAAAAGGAUACAUAGAAGGAUGCAGGAUCAUAUAUGUAAUACUCUAUGGCUGCGUUCCGAUAUUCAUCGCUAGUAUUGAAAAUAGUGUAUUGAAAAUAUGUGACAUAAUUGAUGUGAAGUAUUGCAUAUAUGUGCUGAGUGGAUCGCUAUCUUUGUCAGGAUAAUAUAAGAAAGGAUCGUUUCUAAUACUAUAGAGUUCAAUGCGCAUAUCGAAAGCGCGAAACACUCGAAAAAAUUUAGAGUAAUCAACAUCACAAUAGUUACUAGGAUAUAUCGAUUACCUGGAUUCGAAUUUUGAAUCAAAUGCUCGACAACUUAACUCGAUUCGAAAAGAUCUAUUGGAAAUUAUUUUAUAGUACAAACAUGACACGUCUCUAAAAGUAUAAACAAAUAUAAAUGCUGCACGUUAUCUCAAUUUAUUCUCACGCUAUACGAAUAAGAUUAAUUUUCUCGCGCGUAUUAUUUUAAUAUUUUUUAUUCACACAAAAAUA